GACGAACGCUGGCGGCGUGCUUACCACAUGCAAGUCGAACGCUGAAGGCUCAGCUUGCUGGGCUGGAUGAGUGGCGAACGGGUGAGUAACACGUGAGUAACCUGCCCUCUUCUUUGGGAUAACGGUCGGAAACGGCUGCUAAUACCGGGUAUUCACUGUCCUUCGCAUGGGGGGUGGUGGAAAGGUUUUUUCUGGUGGGGGAUGGGCUCGCGGCCUAUCAGCUUGUUGGGGGGGUGAUGGCUUACCAAGGCUUUGACGGGUUACCGGGCUGAGAGGGUGACCGGUCAUAUUGGUACUGAGAUGGACCCAGACUCCUACGUGAUGUUGUUGUUUUUUUUGUGCAUAUGGGUGAUAGUUUGUUCCUUGACGCCUCGGGGGGAGAAGGGGUUCGGGUGAUCCUCUUUUGCUCUGGUUCAACCGUGGCUUGGGUUGGUUGAUGUUUUAGGUUGUUGUGAUGGUGGUGUGUUGUUGUGGUUGUUUGGUGGUUUGUGGUUUUGUUGAUUUUGUGUUGGGUAUGUGUUGUUGCUUUUUUGUGAUGUGUUGAUUCGUGUUUUUUGUGUUGUUUGGUGGGUGUUUGUUUGUUUUUGGUUGUGUGUGUUUGUUUUUGUGA
rnacentral:rRNA from 1 species